rnacentral:rRNA from 1 species
UACGUAGGGGGCUAGCGUUGUCCGGAAUCAUUGGGCGUAAAGCGCACGUAGGCGGCUUUGUAAGUCAGAGGUGAAAGCCUGGAGCUCAACUCCAGAACUGCCUUUGAGACUGCAUCGCUUGAAUCCAGGAGAGGUGAGUGGAAUUCCGAGUGUAGAGGUGAAAUUCGUAGAUAUUCGGAAGAACACCAGUGGCGAAGGCGGCUCACUGGACUGGUAUUGACGCUGAGGUGGCGAAAGCGUGGGGAGCAAACAGG